UUCACCUACGGGGGGCAGCAGUGGGGAAUAUUGCGCAAUGGGGGCAACCCUGACGCAGCAACGCCGCGUGAUUGAAGAAGGCCUUCGGGUUGUAAAGAUCUUUAAUUGGGGACGAAACAAAUGACGGUACCCAAAGAAUAAGCUCCGGCUAACUACGUGCCAGCAGCCGCGGUAAUACGUAGGGAGCAAGCGUUAUCCGGAUUUACUGAGUGUAAAGGGCGAGUAGGCGGGCUGGCAAGUUGGGAGUGAAAUCCCGGGGCUUAACCCCGGAACUGCUUUCAAAACUGCUGGUCUUGAGUGAUGGG
rnacentral:rRNA from 1 species